rnacentral:sRNA from 1 species
UAGCUGUGUCAAUGAUGAGAACAUCAGC